rnacentral:rRNA from 1 species
GAGUUUGAUCAUGGCUCAGGAUGAACGCUGACGGCGCGCCUAACACAUGCAAGUCGAACGGCACCCCUCUCCGGAGGGAAGCGAGUGGCGAACGGCUGAGUAACACGUGGAGAACCUGCCCCUCCCCCGGGAUAGCCGCCCGAAAGGACGGGUAAUACCGGAUACCCCGGGGUGCCGCAUGGCGCCCCGGCUAAAGCCCCGACGGGAGGGGAUGGCUCCGCGGCCCAUCAGGUAGACGGCGGGGUGACGGCCCACCGUGCCGACAACGGGUAGCCGGGUUGAGAGACCGACCGGCCAGAUUGGGACUGAGACACGGCCCAGACUCCUACGGGAGGCAGCAGUGGGGAAUCUUGCGCAAUGGGGGGAACCCUGACGCAGCGACGCCGCGUGCGGGACGGAGGCCUUCGGGUCGUAAACCGCUUUCAGCAGGGAAGAGUCAAGACUGUACCUGCAGAAGAAGCCCCGGCUAACUACGUGCCAGCCGCCGCGGU